rnacentral:rRNA from 1 species
GAUGAACGCUGGCGGCGUGCUUAAUACAUGCAAGUCGAGCGAACAGAUGAGGAGCUUGCUCCUCUGACGUUAGCGGCGGACGGGUGAGUAACACGUGGAUAACCUACCUAUAAGACUGGGAUAACUUCGGGAAACCGGAGCUAAUACCGGAUAAUAUAUUGAACCGCAUGGUUCAAUAGUGAAAGACGGUUUUGCUGUCACUUAUAGAUGGAUCCGCGCCGCAUUAGCUAGUUGGUAAGGUAACGGCUUACCAAGGCAACGAUGCGUAGCCGACCUGAGAGGGUGAUCGGCCACACUGGAACUGAGACACGGUCCAGACUCCUACGGGAGGCGGCAGUAGGGAAUCUUCCGCAAUGGGCGAAAGCCUGACGGAGCAACGCCGCGUGAGUGAUGAAGGUCUUCGGAUCGUAAAACUCUGUUAUUAGGGAAGAACAAAUGUGUAAGUAACUAUGCACGUCUUGACGGUACCUAAUCAGAAAGCCACGGCUAACUACGUG